AGAUUUAAAUACAGUCCGCUGUAGAAAGCAGGUGCCGUAAGGCUUAAUGUCCUGCCGAGGUUGGAAGACUAGCCGAUAGAUACUUAUUUGGCAUUCUUAACCUCUGCAACAGCGGAGGUUUUUUGAUGAGUUU
rfam:Peptococcaceae bacterium BRH_c23 BRHa_1002856, whole genome shotgun sequence.